CAAGUUCAUCCCGGGGCUGAACCGGGCGCUGGAGGAGGAGGAGAGUCACCUCUAGCCGGCAGCCCCCGGCCCCUCCCAGGACUAUUUAUUUAUUUAUUGCUUCAUUCCCUCGGCCUCCAUCCCUGAGGGCUGCAGGAAGGAGGUUUGGGUUGGCCCCAGGGGUUCCGAUUUUGCCCCCCCCGGGCCGUGGGGAUCGUGACACUGUGAGGAACGGACACACCACCAAGGGACAGACGUGAGGACCCUCCGGAAGCGGCUCACGGAGCUGUCGCUGCUCUCCGGAGCCGGGGUCUCCUCCCCGGAGGGGAGCCCCGCAUCGCCCAGGUUGGGGGGCUCUGGGGGUCCCACCCCUGCUCCCCCCGGGCUGUUGUACCACGUCAGUGCUCGCCAAUACAGAGACGAUUUGCAGCGA